rnacentral:rRNA from 1 species
UUAAAUUGAAGAGUUUGAUCAUGGCUCAGAUUGAACGCUGGCGGCAGGCCUAACACAUGCAAGUCGAACGGUAACAGGAAGCAGCUUGCUGCUUUGCUGACGAGUGGCGGACGGGUGAGUAAUGUCUGGGAAACUGCCUGAUGGAGGGGGAUAACUACUGGAAACGGUGGCUAAUACCGCAUAACGUCGCAAGACCAUAGAGUGGGACCUUCGGGCCUCUUGCCAUCAGAUGUGCCCAGAUGGGAUUAGCUUGUUGGUGAGGUAACGGCUCACCAAGGCGACGAUCCCUAGCUGGUCUGAGAGGAUGACCAGCCACACUGGAACUGAGACACGGUCCAGACUCCUACGGGAG